rnacentral:rRNA from 1 species
CGUGUAGGCGGCCCGUUAAGUCUGGAGUGAAAGUCCUGCUUUUAAGGUGGGAAUUGCUUUGGAUACUGAUGGGCUUGAGUGCAGGAGAGGUUAUCGGAACUCCCGGUGUAGCGGUGAAAUGCGUAGAGAUCGGGAGGAACACCAGUGGCGAAGGCGGGUAACUGGACUGCAACUGACGCUGAGGCGCGAAAGUGUGGGGAGCAAACA